UACGUAGGGUGCAAGCGUUAAUCGGAAUUACUGGGCGUAAAGCGUGCGCAGGCGGUGAUGUAAGACAGAUGUGAAAUCCCCGGGCUCAACCUGGGAACUGCAUUUGUGACUGCAUCGCUGGAGUGCGGCAGAGGGGGAUGGAAUUCCGCGUGUAGCAGUGAAAUGCGUAGAUAUGCGGAGGAACACCGAUGGCGAAGGCGACUCCCUGGUCUGUUACUGACACUGAGGCACGAAAGCGUGGGGAGCGAACAGG
rnacentral:rRNA from 1 species